GCAGAAGACAGCAUACGAGAUGCUCUUGACUUUCCUCCCAAAUCUGCUCUCCAUUUAGCUCUAGUGCAGUCCUUGUUUUUUCUUUUUUCCUAAAUCAAAAUAUAGAAGUUACUAUAAUAUGAAUUACAGAAAACAUUUCAAUAUUAGCUAUCAGCAGCUACUUCAGGUUACAAAUCCAUUUGAGCUAUUUUUUUAAUUCCUGGCAAAAAGAUAACUAUACAUACAGAAACUAUAUUGCUUAAUACUGUGCCUUUA
rnacentral:lncRNA from 1 species